GAAUCAUUCGCAAUGGGCGAAAGCCUGACGAUGCGACGCCGUGUGAGUGAAGAAGGCCUUCGGGUUGUAAAGCUCUUUCGCCUGGGAACAAAAAGGGAUGGUUAAUACCUGUCCUGCUUGAGCGUACCAGGUAAAGAAGCACCGGCUAACUCUGUGCCAGCAGCUGCGGUAAUACAGAGGGUGCAAGCAUUAAUCGGAUUUAUUGGGCGUAAAGGGCGUGUAGGCGGGAAGGAAAGUCAGAUGUGAAAAACCAGGGCUCAACCCUGGAGACGCAUUUGAAACUCCCUUUCUAGAGGGUAGAUAGAGAAAGCGGAAUUCUGUGUGUAGCGGUGAAAUGCGUAGAUAUACGGAAGAACACCCGUGGCGUAGGCGGCUUUCUAAUCUACACCUGACGCUGAGGCGCGAAAGCAAGGGGAGCAAAC
rnacentral:rRNA from 1 species